CGGGCGGAGCCUACCUGCAAGUCGAGCGGCAGCGCGGUGGUAGCAAUACCAUCGGCGGCGAGCGGCGGACGGGUGAGGAACACAUCGGAAUCUACCCUGUCGUGGGGGACAACGUAGGGAAACUUACGCUAAUACCGCAUACGACCUUUGGGUGAAAGUGGGGGACCCGCAAGGGCCUCACGCGAUUGGAUGAGCCGAUGUCCGAUUAGCUAGUUGGCGGGGUAAUGGCCCACCAAGGCGACGAUCGGUAGCUGGUCUGAGGGGACGACCAGCCACACUGGAACUGAGACACGGUCCAGACUCCUACGGGAGGCAGCAGCGGGGAAUAUUGGACAAUGGGGGCAACCCUGAUCCAGCCAUGCCGCGUGGGUGAAGAAGGCCUUCGGGUUGUAAAGCCCUUUUGUACGGGAAGAAAAGCUCCGGGUGAAUAUCCCGGGGUCAUGACGGUACCGUAAGAAUAAGCACCGGCUAACUCUGUGCCAGCAGCCGCGGUAAUACAGAGGGUGCGAGCGUUGUCCGGAAUCACUGGGCGUAAAGGGCGCGUAGGCGGCCUGAUAAGUAGGGGGUGAAAUCCUGCGGCUUAACUGCAGGGCUGCCUCCUAGACUGUCGGGCUCGAGCACGGUAGAGGCAGAUGGAAUUCCCGGUGUAGCGGUGGAAUGCGUAGAGAUCGGGAAGAACAUCGGUGGCGAAGGCGGUCUGCUGGGCCGUUGCUGACGCUGAGGCGCGACAGCGUGGGGAGCAAACAGGAUUAGAUACCCUGGUAGUCCACGCCGUAAACGAUGGACACUA
rnacentral:rRNA from 1 species